rnacentral:rRNA from 1 species
AUACGUAGGUGGCAAGCGUUGUCCGGAAUUACUGGGUGUAAAGGGAGCGCAGGCGGGAAGGCAAGUCAGCGGUGAAAACUAUGGGCUUAACCCAUAGACUGCCGUUGAAACUGUUUUUCUUGAGUGAAGUAGAGGCAGGGGGAAUUCCUAGUGUAGGGGGGAAAUGCGUCGAUAUUAGGAGGAACACCAGUGGCGAAGGCGGCCUGCUGGGCUUUUACUGACGCUGAGGCUCGAAAGUGUGGGGAGCAAACAGGAUUAGAUACCCUGGUAGUCCACACCGUAAACGAUGAUUGCUAGGUGUGGGGGGUCUGACCCCCUCCGUGCCGGAGUUAACACAAUAAGCAAUCCACCUGGGGAGUACGGCCGCAAGGUUGAAACUCAAAUGAAUUGACGGGG